ACGUGAGAUGAACAACAUUUUUUCAUGAAGAACCAUCCAUGCAUAUUAAAAUGAAUUUCUCAACAAAUAAUUAAACGCAUUCCCAACAGCAACAAAUCCCAUAAUAGUGAAGUGCACUCGCUGUGCGCCGAGCUGCACACACACAACAUGUGAACCUUGUCUCGUAUCCAAGGUAGAUGUCGCCGGAGGAGAGGACUGCACGCGAGCCGUAUUUUGCCCUGCACACUCGUGGCCCAACACAGCACACAUAGAUCAGAUAACAUAGCAAAAGUGACUGAAAAAUAGCAUGUAUUAGGGCUGAACUAAACUGAAUGCAUCUAGCUGCCAAAUCAUGUGCGCACCGCCGAUGAGCAUAAUACCAGCAGUCUUAUCUUUUUGUGUGUGUUCUUUAUUUUUUGCAUCACAAAAAGUAGAGUGAACCGCAGUGGACAGAGCAGCGAACCUCUGCAAAAGACAGUGAAGCUUUUUCUUACCAAAGUAGACUGUUGCUUCAUCCUUGCUCUGCAGUCCACACCGAAGAAAACCUCAGUGCACUGAACAUUCCAAUCCAAAAAGAAGAGGAAAGUGAUAUGAAUGAGAGUAGUGAACUUUAGAAAAAAA
rnacentral:lncRNA from 1 species